rnacentral:pre_miRNA from 1 species
CUACUACUCCCUCCGUCCGAAAAACUUGUCAUUGAAAUGGAUGUAUCUAGAUGUAUUUUAGUUCUAGACACAUCCAUUUUGGUGACAAGUAAUUCCGGACAGAGGGAGUAUUAU